rnacentral:rRNA from 1 species
AGAUUGAACGCUGGCGGCAUGCCUAACACAUGCAAGUCGAACGGGAGUAGCAAUACUCUAGUGGCGGACGGGUGAGGAAUACGUAGGAAUUUGCCCUUAAGUGGGGGAUAACCCGGGGAAACCCGGAUUAAUACCGCAUGACCUCGAAAGAGCAAAGUGGGGGAUCGCAAGACCUCACGCUUUUGGAGAAGCCUACGUCGGAUUAGCUAGUUGGUGAGGUAAUGGCUCACCAAGGCGACGAUCCGUAACUGGUCUGAGAGGAUGAUCAGUCACACCGGAACUGAGACACGGUCCGGACUCCGUACGGGAGCCAGCAGGUGGGGAAUAGUUGGACAAGUGGGCGC